CCUACGGGGGGCAGCAGUGGGGAAUAUUGGACAAUCGGCGAAAGCCUGAUCCAGCCAUGCCGCGUGUGUGAAGAAGGCCUUCGGGUUGUAAAGCACUUUCAGUGGGGAAGAAAGCCUUGGGGCUAAUACCCUCGAGGAAGGACAUCACCCACAGAAGAAGCACCGGCUAACUCCGUGCCAGCAGCCGCGGUAAUACGGAGGGUGCGAGCGUUAAUCGGAAUUACUGGGCGUAAAGCGCGCGUAGGCGGUCUGAUAAGCCGGUUGUGAAAGCCCCGGGCUCAACCUGGGAACGGCAUCCGGAACUGUCAGGCUAGAGUGCAGGAGAGGAAGGUAGAAUUCCCGGUGUAGCGGUGAAAUGCGUAGAGAUCGGGAGGAAUACCAGUGGCGAAGGCGGCCUUCUGGACUGACACUGACGCUGAGGUGCGAAAGCGUGGGUAGCAAACAGGAUUAGAUACCCCGGUAGUC
rnacentral:rRNA from 1 species